UCCCUCACUCUUCUCUCUCCUCAUCUUCUCUCUUCUCACUCUCUAUUCCCCUCACUUCAUGACAUCCUCACACAUUUACUAUAAGAUUGGACAUUAAUGGGAAGAUCACACCAACAAUUCUCAUCAAUGCCAAGCUUUCUCUCCCUCUCUUCUUCUUCUUUAUUUUCGGCAGCCCUCCCCCUCCUCACUCCACCACACUUCUUUUUCUUGUUUCACCAAUUAUAGUAAGAGUUUAAGGAUCCAAAAGUGUCUACCUUCACACUAAGGCUAUCAAGAGACUCCAACCUUCAAGCACAAGCUUCAAAAAUCCUACGCACCAUCCUCUACUCCACCUUCCUUGAUUUGUUGGUUCGAGUGACGGCCGGCGUUAGUACGACUCUGAGCGUUACGUCAUCGACCCCUGAGACAGGUCUGGCUUGGCGCGAGGAUGGGUGAAAGCUGUUGGAAUUGUCAGUUGGCUGUGUCUUCCCUAUGUCUCAUAUUUAUCUUUAUAAGCUUUGACUCUAUAAGAAUUUGAACUCCCUGCUAUAUGUCUUCACACAUAUAGUAACGCAUAUCGCUGCAUAACUCUGAUGAAACUCUUUAUUUAAUUUGCUUAUGCCUGUAAUAUCCCUUAAGGGAAAUACUUCUCAAACCCUUGCUAAGUUUCAAUGGCUUAAUUAUGUUU